AUUGAACGCUGGCGGAAUGCUUUACACAUGCAAGUCGAACGGCAGCACGGGGGCAACCCUGGUGGCGAGUGGCGAACGGGUGAGUAAUACAUCGGAACGUGCCCAGUCGUGGGGGAUAACGUAGCGAAAGGUACGCUAAUACCGCAUACGAUCUACGGAUGAAAGCGGGGGACCGUAAGGCCUCGCGCGAUUGGAGCGGCCGAUGUCAGAUUAGGUACUUGGUGAGGUAAAGACUCACCAAGCCGACGAUCUGUAGCUGGUCUGAGAGGACGACCAGUCAGACUGGGACUGGGACACGGCCCAGACCCAUACGGGAGGGAGUAGUGGGGAAUUUUGGACAAUGGGCGCAAGCCUGAUCCAGCCAUUCCGCGUGCAGGACGAAGGCCUUCGGGUUGUAAACUGCUUUUGUACGGAACGAAAAGGCUCUGGUUAAUACCUGGGGCUCAUGACGGUACCGUAAGAAUAAGCACCGGCUAACUACGUGCCAGCCGCCGCCGUAA
rnacentral:rRNA from 1 species